rnacentral:lncRNA from 1 species
UUCGGAUAGCUGCCUACCAGGCUCUGGGGCCAUUCAUCUCAACAUUUGCCAACCCAGUGCGCACAGGGCUCUACUGCAGUGAGGAUGGGGUAGUGAGUGUGCGAACUCCAGAAGACCGGUUAGAUGCUUUUAUUGAGGGAGAGGCACCCUGCCCUGCAGACACCCCUGCAGACAACCCUGCAUUGCUGACAGCUUUGGAGAAGCCGGUUUCUUUGGAAGAUACUCACACCAGUGAUUUGCUUCUUACUGGCACUGUUGCUCAUCCUGAUAGAGAUCUGGUGCACUUUGGGAAGUGCGCUGUGCUGUCAGGUGGCUGCAGUGGAUGAAGAAGUGGUUUCUGCUGUGCCAGGAAAAGAGAGCAGCAGGCCGUGUGUCAAGAUGACGAAGGGGAACCCGGCUGUACAACUCCUCUACGGCAACAGAAGAUGGUACUUGCGGCAAUAAGAAUGACCCUUCCGGUGUGGUUCUUCCAGAAAACCCAGAAGACUUGUCUGCAAGCUGCAGUGCAGAAGGCGUGGCAGGCUCAACCUCAGCUGCACAAGGAUUGUUUGAAGGAAACAUGCCUCAAGAUGACUUAUCUGCAGAGCAAGCACGCACACAGAGUUUCGGGAUUAAGGAGCCCUUGUCUGUUCAAGGGGACAGGCAGAGGCUAGUUGUUCAUGUGGAUUCUGGAGCAGAGAGCAACUUCAACACAUUCCAGUUUUGGCGUGUGCCUAUUCCAGAGGUGGAAGUGGACAUAGAGUUCUUAGGUGAUCGCCCUACAGCUGUCCAUGUCAGGGCAAAGUCUCAAGACCAAGACAACCGCUGUUCUCUUCUGAUGUCAGUGUUGAAGUACUUGGUGCGGACACCCAUCAGUAUGCUGCAAAUGCAGUCUCAUCUGCAGAACAAGCUGGCAGUGUUCCUAAUGAAAGGCUCUCUGGUGAUUCAUCAACUCUAAGAAUUCGGACGGCCUCUUUAUCUUCACUAACAUCUGCUGACCAAGAAUGUAACCUCUUGCUUUCUUCUUCAGUCACCGAAGCUUCUGUGGCUUUUAAUGAAGCUGGGGAAGUUGCAGGUGUGCACAAAGUACGGAUGA